AAACUGAAUUCAGAAUCGGGCCAGGGCAUCGUCUGAUGCCCUGUUAACACGGUCGUACAUCCAGCCGGUUGCCUGAUUCCUUGCAUUAGAGCGAUGUACGGAGUUUAAAGAGC
rnacentral:ncRNA from 1 species